UGGGGAAUUUUGGACAAUGGGGGAAACCCUGAUCCAGCCAUCCCGCGUGUGCGAUGAAGGCCUUCGGGUUGUAAAGCACUUUUGGCAGGAAAGAAACGUCGCGGGUUAAUACCCCGCGAAACUGACGGUACCUGCAGAAUAAGCACCGGCUAACUACGUGCCAGCAGCCGCGGUAAUACGUAGGGUGCAAGCGUUAAUCGGAAUUACUGGGCGUAAAGCGUGCGCAGGCGGUUCGGAAAGAAAGAUGUGAAAUCCCAGAGCUUAACUUUGGAACUGCAUUUUUAACUACCGGGCUAGAGUGUGUCAGAGGGAGGUGGAAUUCCGCGUGUAGCAGUGAAAUGCGUAGNUAUGCGGAGGAACACCGAUGGCGAAGGCAGCCUCCUGGGAUAACACUGACGCUCAUGCACGAAAGCGUGGGGAGCAAACAGGAUUAGAUACCCUGGUAGUCCACGCCCUAAACGAUGUCAGCUAGCUGUUGGGGCCUUCGGGCCUUGGUAGCGCAGCUAACGCGUGAAGUUACCGCCUGGGGAGUACGGUCGCAAGAUUAAAACUCAAAGAA
rnacentral:rRNA from 1 species